rnacentral:lncRNA from 1 species
AAUUGAUUUGAAAUCUAAUAUACCUGUUUUAUAAAUUGUAUCUACUGGUGUCUUUGGAGGUUUCCAAUUUGUUAAUUGCUGGUCAUUCCAUAUAUUUUCUCUUGAUAAAAUUGUUUGAUUAUGAUCUGUAUGAAUAUUUAAAUCAUUUAUGAGUUCGUCGUCUGGUCUCCUAGACCUAGAAGAUCUAUUUCUCCUAAACAUAUUCAUCUUAAAUUUCUAGGGUU